UGCAGUCGAGCGGAGAGAAGAGCUUGCUCUUCGAUUCAGCGGCGGACGGGUGAGUAAUACCUAGGAAUCUGCCUGGUAGUGGGGGACAACGUUUCGAAAGGAACGCUAAUACCGCAUACGUCCUACGGGAGAAAGCAGGGGACCUUCGGGCCUUGCGCUAUCAGAUGAGCCUAGGUCGGAUUAGCUAGUUGGUGAGGUAAUGGCUCACCAAGGCGACGAUCCGUAACUGGUCUGAGAGGAUGAUCAGUCACACUGGAACUGAGACACGGUCCAGACUCCUACGGGAGGCAGCAGUGGGGAAUAUUGGACAAUGGGCGAAAGCCUGAUCCAGCCAUGCCGCGUGUGUGAAGAAGGUCUUCGGAUUGUAAAGCACUUUAAGUUGGGAGGAAGGGUACUUACCUAAUACGUGAGUAUUUUGACGUUACCGACAGAAUAAGCACCGGCUAACUCUGUGCCAGCAGCCGCGGUAAUACAGAGGGUGCAAGCGUUAAUCGGAAUUACUGGGCGUAAAGCGCGCGUAGGUGGUUCGUUAAGUUGGAUGUGAAAUCCCCGGGCUCAACCUGGGAACUGCAUCCAAAACUGGCGAGCUAGAGUAGGGCAGAGGGUGGUGGAAUUUCCUGUGUAGCGGUGAAAUGCGUAGAUAUAGGAAGGAACACCAGUGGCGAAGCGACCACCUGGGCUCAUACUGACACUGAGGUGCGAAAGCGUGGGGAGCAAACAGGAUUAGAUACCCUGGUAGUCCACGCCGUAAACGAUGUCAACUAGCCGUUGGAAUCCUUGAGAUUUUAGUGGCGCAGCUAACGCAUUAAGUUGACCGCCUGGGGAGUACGGCCGCAAGGUUAAAACUCAAAUGAAUUGACGGGGCCCGCACAAGCGGUGGACAUGUGGUUUAUUCGAAGCACGCAAAUUACCCCUUGACUGCAGAGAUUUCAAAUGGAUUGGGCUCGCUCUGACCUCAGGUGUCGCAGCUCGGAGUGGACCAAGCCACUGGGCAG
rnacentral:rRNA from 1 species